UGUGGUGCAGACUUGCCUUGCCUUGAUAGCCUCCCACCGCUGCUUCCACCACUCAGACAGCUGGCUGCUCCGCUGUGUUUCAUCAGCAGCUGCUAGGCUGUAAGAUCUCUAAGUAUCUCUUUCUGUGACUGAGGAUUUCCUGCCCUUUGGAGGACUCCCUCUCAUUUUGACUAAAGCAGGUUGAGAAAAAGAGGGAUAGAUUGUAGGAGGAGAGGAAGACACUGUGGGCCGAGAGUGACCUUCGUGUUGUGGUGGCAGAGUAGAAGAGGAGAAUCGGUAACGUGCAGGAUCCAUCAGGAGCUGCAUGAGAGCGAGAGAGACGGCAAAGGAAAGGUGGAACUAUCCUGGCGAAUUUACCUUUCGUCACUCAGGACAAUCUGAAUCUGAAGCAGACGAAGCUGGGUCACUGCUGGACCACCACAUUCACAGCAUGUCGAUAUCUCAAGUGUAUAUUAAGAUUCUCCCAAAUCUUAACAGGAAGACGGUCACCAAGUCAAAUUCUGCUUAAGGCUUCAUACAACCUUGGGUUAGCCCUGCAUAUGUGUGUCAACAGGAAUCCUUUAAAAUUUACCUGAAUGUAGAGA